GGACACCCAACUCAACCAACAUCACCAUUGAGCUUAGUGGACGAUCCAGCGGCUACCUCGCUAUGGUAUUUCCAGUUAACCGGGGAAGUAAUAUCAAUAUCUAUGCCUGUGCCAGUGACAAAGGAGUUUUGAAGCUCAUCCACGCAACUCUGCGCAACAGUCCCACACCAACUCAGGUUAUCUCAUCCUCUGCUGGAUCAGUCAGGGGCUCUGUGAACAGUUCUACCCUCCAGUGCGUGUUCACAAUGAGUGCUCCGAAUAUGUCAUCUGUGAACUCCAGGCGGAACGUUUUCCUCAUCAGUGGGAGCUUCACCAGUGGAAAACUGGGGACCCCGGUGAUCAGAGUUUCCACCAAUAGCUCAGCAGAUCUCUA